AUACGGAAGGUCCGGGCGUUGUCCGGAUUUAUUGGGUUUAAAGGGAGCGCAGGCGGAGAUGCAAGCGUGACGUCAAAUUUCGGGGCUCAACCCCGUCUCGCGUCGCGAACUGCGUCCCUUGGUUGCGGGAAGGGGAGGCGGAACUCGUGGUGUAGCGGUGAAAUGCAUAGAUAUCACGAAGAACUCCGAUCGCGAAGGCAGCCUUCCGGCCCGUCAACGACGCUCAUGCUCGAAGGUGCGGGUAUCAAACAGGAUUAGAUACCCUGGUAGUCCGCACAGUAAACGAUGGACACCCGCGGUUUGGCCUGUAUGGCUGAGCCGCCAAGCGAAAGCGUUAAGUGUCCCACCUGGGGAGUACGCCGGCAACGGUGAAACUCAAAUGAAUUGACGGGG
rnacentral:rRNA from 1 species